rnacentral:rRNA from 1 species
AUUGAACGCUGGCGGCAGGCCUAACACAUGCAAGUCGAACGGUAACAGGAAGCAGCUUGCUGCUUCGCUGACGAGUGGCGGACGGGUGAGUAAUGUCUGGGAAACUGCCUGAUGGAGGGGGAUAACUACUGGAAACGGUAGCUAAUACCGCAUAACGUCGCAAGACCAAAGAGGGGGACCUUCGGGCCUCUUGCCAUCGGAUGUGCCCAGAUGGGAUUAGCUAGUAGGUGGGGUAACGGCUCACCUAGGCGACGAUCCCUAGCUGGUCUGAGAGGAUGACCAGCCACACUGGAACUGAGACACGGUCCAGACUCCUACGGGAGGCAGCAGUGGGGAAUAUUGCACAAUGGGCGCAAGCCUGGUGCAGCCAUGCCGCGUGUAUGAAGAAGGCCUUCGGGUUGUAAAGUACUUUCAGCGGGGAGGAAGGUGUUGAGGUUAAUAACCUCAGCAAUUGACGUUACCCGCAGAAGAAGCACCGGCUAACUCCGUGCCAGCCGCCGCCGUAAUAC